rnacentral:rRNA from 1 species
CCUACGGGCGGCAGCAGUGGGGAAUCUUGGGCAAUGGGGGAAACCCUGACCCAGCAACGCCGCGUGAAGGAAGAAGGCUUUCGGGUUGUAAACUUCUUUUCUUAGGGACGAAGAAAGUGACGGUACCUCAAGAAUAAGCCGCGGCUAACUACGUGCCAGCAGCCGCGGUAAUACGGCGGUGGCAAGCGUUGUUCGGAUUAAUUGGGCGUAAAGGGGGUGUAGGCGGUAAUGCAAGUCAGAUGUGAAAACCCAGGGCUCAACCCCGGGCCGGCAUAUGAAACUGUUAGACUUGAGUGCUGGAGAGGCAAGCGGAAUUCCGGGUGUAGCGGUGAAAUGCGUAGAUAUACGGAGGAACACUAGUGGCGAAGGCGGAUUGCUGGACAGUAACUGACGCUGAGGCACGAAAGCGUGGGGAGCAAACGGGAUUAGAUACCCGAGUAGUC